rnacentral:rRNA from 1 species
GAUGAACGCUGGCGGCGUGCCUAAUACAUGCAAGUCGAGCGAACAGACGAGGAGCUUGCUUCUCUGGUGUUAGCAGCGGACGGGUGAGUAACACGUGGAUAACCUACCUAUAAGACUGGGAUAACUUCGGGAAACCGGAGCUAAUACCGGAUAAUAUCUUGAACCACAUGGUUCAAGAGUGAAAGACGGUCUUGCUGUCACUAAUAGAUGUCUCCGCGCUUCAUUGGCUAGUUGGUGAGGUAACGGCUUACCAAGGCAACGAUGCAUAGCCGACCUGAGAGGGGGAUCGGCCACACUGGAACUGGGACACGGUCCAGAUUCCUACGGGAGGAAGCAGUAGGGAAUCUUCGGCAAUGGGGGAAAGCCUGACGGAGCAACGCCGCGUGGGUGAGGAAGGUCUUCGGAUCGUAAAACCUGUUUAUUAGGGAAGAACAUAUGUGGAAGGAAAUGUGCACAUCGUGACGGUAACUAAUCAGAAAGCCACGGCUAACUACGUG